UUUGCCCGGUUUUCUUCCUUGAC
rnacentral:siRNA from 1 species